GUCAGAGUAGCUCAGCUGGUUAGAGCACAGGAUUCAUAACCCUGAGGUCGGGAGUUCAAAUCUCCCCCCUGCUACCA
rnacentral:tRNA from 1 species